UUGCUUUAGGGAUGAAGAAGUCCCUCAUACAAAAUGUCCAUCUAAAUCAAUUUGUCAGUGGCCUUUUUUAGUGGCUUAUUGAUCAUGCCGAAUUGAAAAUAC